CCAGGAUUGGCUGCCCCCUCAUAACCAUAAGAUAAUUAAAACGGGGGGGGGGGAGGAGUUUUUAAAAAACUUUUUUUUUUUUUAUCAUCCAGAGGUUAAUGCAAGUGUUUAACAGAUGCUUCACUAUUAAAAUAUUUUCCCCCCAACUCGCAAAUAUUGAAGAAUCUUAAACCAGGGACAUCAACCCCAACGGAGACUUCGGACGAUUUCAGUGUGCGGGCACCUCGAUUCCCCGAAUGUUUGGUGUGGCCGGGAUAUGUGUGUCCCUGGUUUAACUAGCCUGUUUGAAGGCACAGUUCAUUCUUAGGAAAGUACAACUGAAACCAGUCUUCCCCAUCCUCCUGGAGGUCUUCACUUUCCCGGUCUACAUCAGCUUGUGACUUCGGAAAGAAACUUCACAGGGGCCAAGUUGUCUGAAGACCGGCCAGCCUCACAGCGAUGGGUACCAGCUCGACCAAGUGUACCUUUCCCGCGCCACCGAUCCAGGGGCAUCUCCUGUCGCCAACUCCUCCAUCCAGCCUUGGUCCCUCGAGCCCCGCAGAACUGCGGCUUGGCGGCCAUCGUCGGGGCUCGGGCCUCGAAGGGCGCAGGGCGCUGGGCAGCGGGGCGCGCGACGGCGGGGCAGCAGCACAGGAAUGCUGGGGGGACGAGGCGCGGCCAGAGCCACCACCCCGAUUUAAACCGCGCUCCCCCGCCCCUGGCAUCCUGGUUCAAUUCCCACUUUGAUCUCCAACCCUCUGUGGAUUCCCAGCAACCCAGAGCCAAUUCUGGGCCGCUCCAGCGGGGCGAGGUCGUUGCUCCAGGAAGGUUGGACCCUCAGUCUCCCCCGAGCGAGCGUCUGUGGGGAUUUUUCUUCGCUCGAGGAGGGCAGGAAGGGGUUAAACGCGCCUCUCUCCCACCCUUAUUUUCAAGCCCCUGGCGCUGGGCGAAGGCCACCGUUUCCCUCGUGGGAUCUCAUUAGGGAAACCCUCACCGCUAUUUUCAACAUUUCCUCAAUCAAGUGUCUUUAAAUAGAGCUGCACAAACAAAUUGGCGGCAAGAGCGUAGCUCUUGUCACGAUGGAGACCAAUCCAAUAUUUCAGUCUUGUUUGCUUUGCAAUUACGGGUUGGCUUGUGGCUGCGGUGCCACCGGGGCAGAUCUGCAACGGUCCGCCUGCUGCUCUGCACCCGGGGCGGUGCGGGAAGCGACCGGCGGAGCCCUGCGGCAGAGGGGUGGGGGGUGGGGGGUGGCCCGGGAGAGGUGGCGCCGGGGCCGGCGCGGGAGAGGAGGCCUUUCUUUCCCAAGCUUCACGCCAGGGCCGCGCAGGGCGGUGCCGAGGGAGACAGACUUCAGGUUCCAGAGCGAGCCACUGAGGUUCACAGGAUAAUAAAGAGCAUGAUUCACAUUUGGAAAA